AAAGGAAUUGACGGGGCCCCGCACAAGCGGCGGAGCAUGCGGAUUAAUUCGAUGCAACGCGAAGAACCUUACCUGGGUUUGACAUAUACCGGAAACGUCUAGAGAUAGGCGCCCCCUUGUGGUCGGUAUACAGGUGGUGCAUGGCUGUCGUCAGCUCGUGUCGUGAGAUGUUGGGUUAAGUCCCGCAACGAGCGCAACCCUCGUCUUAUGUUGCCAGCGGUUCGGCCGGGGACUCAUAAGAGACUGCCGGGGUCAACUCGGAGGAAGGUGGGGAUGACGUCAAGUCUUCAUGCCCCUUAUGUCCAGGGCUUCACGCAUGCUACAAUGGCCGGUACAGAGGGCUGCGAUCCCGCAAGGGGGAGCGAAUCCCAAAAAGCCGGUCUCAGUUCGGAUUGGGGUCUGCAACUCGACCCCAUGAAGUCGGAGUCGCUAGUAAUCGCAGAUCAGCAACGCUGCGGUGAAUACGUUCCCGGGGCUUGUACACACCGCCCGU
rnacentral:rRNA from 1 species